rnacentral:rRNA from 1 species
UGGGGAAUAUUGCGCAAUGGGGGAAACCCUGACGCAGCGACGCCGCGUGCGGGAUGAAGGCCUUCGGGUUGUAAACCGCUUUUGAUUGGGAGCAAGCUUUCGGGUGAGUGUACCUUUCGAAUAAGCGCCGGCUAACUACGUGCCAGCAGCCGCGGUAAUACGUAGGGCGCAAGCGUUAUCCGGAAUUAUUGGGCGUAAAGCGCGCGUAGGCGGUUUUUUAAGUCUGAUGUGAAAGCCCACGGCUCAACCGUGGAGGGUCAUUGGAAACUGGAAAACUUGAGUGCAGAAGAGGAAAGUGGAAUUCCAUGUGUAGCGGUGAAAUGCGCAGAGAUAUGGAGGAACACCAGUGGCGAAGGCGACUUUCUGGUCUGUAACUGACGCUGAUGUGCGAAAGCGUGGGAAUCAAACAGG